CCUACGGGAGGCAGCAGUAGGGAAUUUUUCACAAUGGGCGAAAGCCUGAUGGAGCAACGCCGCGUGCAGGAUGAAGGCCUUCGGGUUGUAAACUGCUUUUAUAAGCGAGAAAUAUGAUGGUAACUUAUGAAUAAGGAUCGGCUAACAACGUGCCAGCAGCCGCGGUCAUACGUAGGAUCCGAGCAUUAGCCGGAUUGACGGGGUGUAAAGGGUUGCGUAGGUGGCAUAAUAAGUAGCUAGUGAAAUCUGGUGGCUCAACCGUGGAAUUGCAGUUGAAACUGGAGGCCUUGAGUGCACAAAGGGAUGCCGGAAUUCAUGGUGUAGCGGUGAAAUGCUUAGAUAUAAUGAAGAACACCGAUCGCGAAGGCAAGUGUCCGGGGUGCAACUGACGCUGAGGCUCGAAAGUGCGGGUAUCAAACAGGAUUAGAUACCCCUGUAGUC
rnacentral:rRNA from 1 species